UGGGGAAUAUUGCACAAUGGGCGCAAGCCUGAUGCAGCCAUGCCGCGUGUAUGAAGAAGGCCUUCGGGUUGUAAAGUACUUUCAGCGGGGAGGAAGGCGAUGUGGUUAAUAACCGCGUCGAUUGACGUUACCCGCAGAAGAAGCACCGGCUAACUCCGUGCCAGCAGCCGCGGUAAUACGGAGGGUGCAAGCGUUAAUCGGAAUUACUGGGCGUAAAGCGCACGCAGGCGGUCUGUUAAGUCAGAUGUGAAAUCCCCGGGCUUAACCUGGGAACUGCAUUUGAAACUGGCAGGCUUGAGUCUCGUAGAGGGGGGUAGAAUUCCAGGUGUAGCGGUGAAAUGCGUAGAGAUCUGGAGGAAUACCGGUGGCGAAGGCGGCCCCCCUGGACGAAGACUGACGCUCAGGUGCGAAAGCGUGGGGAGCAAACAGAUUGGAUACCCUGGUAGUCCACGCCGUAAAACGAUGUCGACUUGGAGGUUGUUCCCUUGAGGAGUGGCUUCCGGAGCUAACGCGUUAAGUCGACCG
rnacentral:rRNA from 1 species